rnacentral:rRNA from 1 species
GAUGAACGCUGGCGGCGUGCCUAAUACAUGCAAGUCGAGCGAAUGGAUUAAGAGCUUGCUCUUAUGAAGUUAGCGGCGGACGGGUGAGUAACACGUGGGUAACCUGCCCAUAAGACUGGGAUAACUCCGGGAAACCGGGGCUAAUACCGGAUAACAUUUUGAACCGCAUGGUUCGAAAUUGAAAGGCGGCUUCGGCUGUCACUUAUGGAUGGACCCGCGUCGCAUUAGCUAGUUGGUGAGGUAACGGCUCACCAAGGCAACGAUGCGUAGCCGACCGGGGAGGGUGAUCGGCCACACUGGGACUGAGACACGCCCCAGAGUCCUACGGGAGGCAGCAGUAGGGAAUCUUCCGCAAUGGACAAAAGUCUGACGGAGCAACGCCGCGUGAGUGAUGAAGGCUUUCGGGUCGUAAAACUCUGUUGUUAGGGAAGAACAAGUGCUAGUUGAAUAAGCUGGCACCUUGACGGUACCUAACCAGAAAGCCACGGCUAACUACGUGCCAGCCGCCGCCGUAA